rnacentral:lncRNA from 1 species
CCAAAUCAAAGAAAAAUAGAAGUUGAGAUCCACAAAAAGAGCAGCCUAAAUGCCAGGCCCAUCCCUUCUCAAACACAUAAUUGUUUUGAGCUUGCUGUGCAAGAAGCUGUGCUUCUUCUCCCUUCAAGCCCAGUCCUGGCUCUCAAAGCCCAAUCCGCGUUUCCUCCUCCAUCCGUGCCUUCGACUUGCAGCUCACCAUACGCCACGGGCCGGCCCAAUGCCAUC